UUGAAGAAUUGCAGGUGGUAGGG
rnacentral:miRNA from 1 species